UGUCGAAAUAGCAAAAGAUGAACUGUUGACUUCUACCAUUCACUCAAACUUAGAUACAUCUACCACAGCAACAUUUGUAUCCGAUGAAUAUACAGAAAUACAAGGAGAUAAACAGAACGUCACAGAAAAUAUUAUCCCGACAGGGUUUGUGCAAGGAAAUGUAACCAUCAUCACACAGACGGUCCACGCUUCAUUCCCUCCUGACCCCAGCAAGAAUGAAACAAGGAAAGGAACUUCUGUCAUCACCAUUGUCGGGUAUUCGGCUUCGAGCUCAGUUGUCAGCAUCAUCGUCACAGCCAUAAUUUGUCUUGUGAGACGCAAACGACAGAAAGGGAUCGGGAACAGAAGGCUUCAAGUAUCGUAUAUCACUCCGAUUUACGACAGGAAUGAAGGAUACGCCACUAUUGACAAUAGCUAAGAAUCUGGGCACGAUUAAAGUGAACAUAGUGUAACCGGGUCGUUAUUUUGCUUUUGUAAGUCUUGUGACCUCUCUGCUUCCUGGAUUUAUUUCCGACACCGCUCAGUUAAGUCCGGCGGUCGUCAGUGUCCAGUGUCAUUACAUUCUGUGUUAGGGA